UAACUGUAAGUCGCUCUGGAUAAGAGCGUCUGCUAAAUGACUAAAGUGUUAGUUUUUUUAAAUGCAAUAGUAUUACCAGGACGCCACCCAGGACACAAACACUUUGUUGGAAUCUCAUGUGACAAAAGCAGCGGUGUGGCGUCUCUACAAGGAAUCGAUGACAACACUUGAGGUACGUGUAGUCGGGCUGUCUUCCUUCAGUAAUCUGUUGAUAGAUUGCUGGUGUGGUGAAGGACAGCACUGUGACAGGGGUCAACAUCCCACAGCUGUUUAGACUGGAGGAUGGUACGGUGCUGGUGGAAACUAUGGCUGGCAACAACACCUGACUCCGUACUUCAGGCCGCUUCCAUAGAUCAUGCAGUACCAGCACUUCAGCUUCGAUGCUCUGGAGCCUGGUGUCGCCAAGGAUGGUCUGCCUGUAGAAGAACCACCUGGACUGGACACAUCUAGACAAACUUAUCUUUUUGAGCAGAUCAGGGAGUUUUGCGACGAAGAGGCCAUGGACAUUACAUUUACAUUUUAGCAGACAUCACAUGCCCUGCACCAAAGUCAAGGGCAGGACAGAAACAGACUAUCCGAAUAUAGAUUCCCCUGUUCAUGCAUGGUUCAUGCGUGCUGCGGACGGACCAGUUCAUCACUGAGGGCUGUUUGGGGUUUUAGGCUGGGUUUCUGUAUAGCACUUUGAAUAGCAGAUCUGACGAUGUAAAAAGGGCUUUAUAAAUACAUUUGAUUGAUUGAUUGAGUUCCCAGUCAUCCGGACUAUCUGCAGUGCCUCUAUGCACAUUCACAUUACUCUCUCCUAACACACACACACAAGCCAUACGUUGCUGCUACAAUACAUUUUUUAAAUCCUGCUGCUCGGCCACUUUACUCAUUAUUGUAUGCAUAUAACUACCUUGUCUAUCACCAGUAUCAAUGAUUUUGUUAUUGAUAUUGUUCUUGUACAUCCUGUAUUUUAUUUUGUGCUUUCUCUACUGUCAUUGACACUUUGUUCUUUUUUUUAUAUUGACACUUUCUAUUUUUGAUAUUGCAAGUAACCAUUUCACUGUACCGUUUGCACCUU